ACCUCAGGCCUGGGAGGCUCGGCAGGCGCCCAGAGCAAGCCUCCGCCUGCAUUCAGAUCUGCCCGCCUCUGGGUUUUCUCCAGAACUGAGUGCCUCUGCGUGGGCGGGCUUGGCCCCGCGCUGUCCCCCUGCGCUGUGAGCGCCACCCUACUCGGUACCCUCCACCAUUAGUGCUGUGGGAAGGCACACCGCUGGUUUUCACGGUUCCGUGUGUUGUGCGUGCAGAAGAACAGAAAAGAUCAGUUUGAAGGAACACAGCUUAGUAGACAUUCCAGAGCCCGCCAGCUACGAAACACGCUGGUCGCUGCUGGGGGCGCUGCUCUCCGCCAAGUAGCCUCCAGACGCUGCGGGCUGCCCCUCACGGUUAGCGCUGGUCCUCCAGAGCUUGCGUGCGCCUGGCAGAUACAGUGUGGCUCCCGCGUGUCUUCUUUUCCCUUCACACUCAGUGACGGCCGGGCCGGGAAACCGUGCUUCUCUCUAUCGAUGGCGUUAUCCAGACGCUUCACAUCUUUGCUGGUGGAAGCUGGAGCCGUCCGUGCGCAGAGAGUUGCUGGAGUGGGACACUGGUCAUCUGUGGCUUUCUGUCUUCUGAAGCUAUGUUUUGGUUGCAUAUAUGUUCCGUUUUUCUGAUUUGUAGUCAUCUCACAAGUGCUGGCAUUCCUCUUUGUCCCUGGUGAUGCUAUUACUUUAAAAUGGUUGUCAUGGGGGCGCCUGGGUGGCUCAGUGGGUUAAGUGUCUGCCUUCGGCUCAGGUCAGGAUCUCAGGGUCCCGGGAUAGAGCCCCGCAUUGGGCUUCUUGCUCAGCGGGGAGCCUACUUCUCCCUCUGCCUCUGCCCCUCCCCUGCUCAUGCUCUCUCUCUCUCUCUGACAAAUAAAUAAAUAAAAUCUUUAAAAAAUAAAUUAAAA
rnacentral:lncRNA from 1 species